AUGAAUGAGUACAAAAUCAAAGAGGCACACUUGCCAGCUUCCUCUUUCUACGUCGUCCUGGGCAUAUCCAGCCUUCAUCAUGAAGUCGUGUCUAUUUUCCACUUGCACACUUUCCUGGAAGACUCUUGGACAGCGUAUCAAGAUCUCUCAUUUUCUGGCUUGAACUCACUGCAGACUCAUCUUGUGGCAAGGCUCACCACCCACCAUGCCGGGCCUUGUCAGUGCCCUGGGGCAGCGUGGAUGGGCCGCCCACGCUUUCAACUAACAGACGGCAGCAAAGGCCAUCACCUCCUUCUGAAGGAAUCAGAAGUUGGAACCAGGCCAGUGUAGGGUGGGACCAGAACUGAUGCCUGAACACAUGACCACAGACUGUCCUUGCUGUUGGAGAGCUGGGGACUGCGCCAUAGGAGGCUGUGUGGUUAUCGCCUAUGAGCCCCCAAGACCUUCAUUUCCUCAUCUGCCUUUACUUUGUGUCUCCUCUGAACGUGAUCCUGUGUUCUGGGUUUUUUUUUUUUUUUUUUUUUGAAAUGGCAGCAUUUCAAAUAUGCUGUUUUUUACCAUCAAUCAUUUCUUGCCAGCUGGGUGCAGCGGGUGACACCUGUUAUCCCAGCACUUUGGGAGGGUUGGGGGGGGGGGUGGAUCACAAGGUCAAGAGUUCGAGACCAGCCUGGCCAACAUGGUGAAACCCCGUCUCUACUAAAAAUACAAACAUUAGCCAGGCGUGGUGGCCCGUGCCUGUAGUUCCAGCUACUCGGGAGGCUGAGUUACACGACUUGCUUGAACCCAGGAGGUGGAGGUUGCAGUGAGCCAAGAUUGUUCCACUGCACUCCAGCCUGGGUGAUAGAAUGAGAAUCUGUCUCAAAAAAAGAAAAAAAAAAAAGAAAAAAUGUUUCUUGCCUUGGUUUGAGUUGCCAGAAGCAAACUCUCGAUCAAGGGUUCGUGUAUCUGGGAGGUGAUCCCUGGCCACGCCUGUAGGAGGGUGGGAGGGGAGGCAUGGAAGGGAAGGGCCCAUUGAGGGCAUGUGAUCCCAACCAGCGCCAUUCAGGGCAUUUGGACCCAAAUCCCACUGGGGGCCCUGGACAACAGUUACCCCAGCUCCCUUCAGUCAGUGGCCGAGAGAUGUUCAGGGACAGCUGUGGCUGGGACCUGAUGAUCCACCAGCUCUGGGGCAAGGCACAGUCAGGCACAUUGAUGCCUCCUGGGCUCCAAGGGGCACCGUAGGAGGCUCAGGUGGUUGGGGGUGCUCCCAGGACAGAGGUGAGUGCUCCCAGGAGCAUGGAGGGGUGGGACUUUGAGAGUUACGCCAGGAAUCUGGGCAGGGAUCCUGCACGCCAAGGUGAGAGAAGCCAGAGCAGUACCAGGACCCAAGCCUCCUCUGGUGCCAGGCCCUGGCUGCACUACUCCUGUUCCCGCUCCUGUGCCCCUGCGAGGAGGACAUGCUGUUUACUGCUACUUGAGGCUCAAAGAGGGUAUCUAUGACCUGUCAGUGAACGGACCAGAGUAUAGGGAAGUGGAUGGGAGAGGGGCUGGAGGGGCAGGGCAGCUGCUGAGGGGCCUUGCUUGUCAUGGUAAGUGCCACUGUGUGAUGCUGGGUCCUGGACUCUGAAAGCCAGGGAGAAACACUUGCCUGGACUUUAUCCUAUAGGUGGGCAGUAUCCACCGAGGGCUUUGUUCAGAGCAUAGAGUGAUAAAAACUGGGCUUUGGGCCAGCAGAAGGCCGUGAAUGAGGUUCCCAUCACCUGUGCCCUACCUCGCCUUGGCUGUCCACUGGUCAAUCGCCUCCUGGGGCUGUCCCCACAGAACUCUGCCAGCAUCCCUGGCAAGCAUGUGUUUGGCAUGGGCUCGUGGCCAGGUGUGCUUGUGUACACAUGUGUGAGCAGUGAUGCAUAUCAGAGCCCCUGAGAUGCAUAUUUUCUUCAAGAUCAGAUACAGAGAUGUGAACUCACAGAGCUCCGUGGGGAGCAGGGAGGGGACUGAACAUGAGUGAUAUUAGCCAAACCCAACUCCCACUUUAUUUUUUCAUGCCUGCAAAUAAUAAUACCUUUUCAGUCUUGUGAAACCUGGUACUCUAGGAAAAAGACACAGAGGUUUAAGAAGCCCUGAGUACGGUUUUGGCCAAGCACCCCUUCCUAGAUUCCUCUCCAGCAUUCUGAGACUUGGAGAGAAGAGAGGGAGAAGGCUCCAGCUGUCAUUCUCUGUAUUGUCCAUUUCUUCUCCCCGGUUCCACAUUCAUUCCCUAACAUCCCUCUGCAAGUUGCUUUUCAUUUAAACACCGCACGUAAAAGCACAGUGUCUGGUUUGGGUAGCACAGGUCGUCUAUUGCAAAAGGAUGUCUAAGAGGGAUGACUAGAGUGUGCUUUGGGGGAUUUGCCAAGGGGGCCUGAAACCAAGGAACAGAUACAAAGCCUGUGGGACCUGUGAAGCCCUAAGCUGGAAACAGCAGUUAGGGGAGAAAGAUCUUUGAUAUAUUCCAAUCAGACCAAGUCAAGAUGAGCUCAAAGUCACGUCUUGAUACAUGUCUGAAAAGACAAAAGUCUGUCUUUAAUCCUGUAUCUUUCUCUGUUAAAACUUUUCUUAUUUGUUUAUUUAUUUAUUUAUUAGACGGAGUCUUGCUUUGUCACCCAGGCUGGAGCGCAGUGGCACAAUCUCGGCUCACGGCAACCUCUACCUCUCGGGUUCAAGCAAUUCUCCUGCUUCAGCCUCCUGAGUAGCUGAGAUUAUAGGUGUGCAUCACCACGCCUGGCUAAUUUUUUCUUUUCUUUUUUUGUAUUUUCAGUAGAGACAGAGUUUUGCCAUGCUGGCCAGGCUGGUCUCAAACUCCUGACCUCAAGUGAUCUGCCCACCUCGGUCUCCUAAAGUGCUGAGAUUAUAGGUGUGAGCCACCGUGCCAUGCCCAGCCUUCUCCUUUAUUUUAAAGCAACUCCUUUUCCCUACAUCCUUGGCCCUCCCCACCAUCCACCCAUCUGUGACCUUGUGGACCCUUAGCUCCCCUGCUCCACCAAAACUUAUUCAAAGGAAAAAGAAAGAAAAAGAAAAAAAUGGAUGUCAGUCAUUUACAUGUUAGUAUACAUAAGCUAUGGAAGCUAUGGAAGGAUUCCGUCUCUGGGCUGAGCUUGGCCUUUUGGUACCAGUUGUUUCAGGGCUUGACCCAGCAGGUGAGCUGUAGCUGAGCCUGUCUAUAGCUGUGUUGGCUCCUGCCUGGGGUAGAUGUAAACACUUUUUCAGUUGCAAACUCAUCAAAGGUGUUUGUGCACACAUGUGUGCAUGUGCGUUGUGUCCACGCCUGUGUGCCUGAAACCCUGCCCGGGUCGCCCUCCAGAAAGGAAGCAAGUGUGCAUUCACACAUUGGAACAAGCCAGCCAUGUCUCUCCGUAACAGGAGAGGAAGCGGGGACUCCAGCAUGUUUUUUUUAAAUGGUAGUGGGCACUGACUCAAAGAUGCCUGUUAAGAAAAACUCCAUGUUCAUCUCUCUGCUGACUCGUUUGGUGAGAAUUACAAACCCAGAUGCCAACAUGUGGCCAACCGCAUGACCCUGCACUGAGGAAUAAAAGACAGGAUCAUCUGAGUUCUUAUGUGAACAAACAACAGAGAUUCAGUUACAUUUUCUCUCCGUGUUUUUUUUUUUUUUAUGUCAGGGAUUUCAGCAGCUCCAGAUUAGGCAUUCUGUGUGACACUCUUGUGUCAGCAGCUCCAGAUUGGAGGGAAGAGGCCACACGCUGGCACCUCUGUG
rnacentral:lncRNA from 1 species